GACGAACGCUGGUGGCGUGCUUAACACAUGCAAGUCGAACGGAAAGGCCCUGCUUUUGUGGGGUGCUCGAGUGGCGAACGGGUGAGUAACACGUGAGUAACCUGCCCUUGACUUUGGGAUAACUUCAGGAAACUGGGGCUAAUACCGGAUAGGAGCUCCUGCUGCAUGGUGGGGGUUGGAAAGUUUCGGCGGUUGGGGAUGGACUCGCGGCUUAUCAGCUUGUUGGUGGGGUAGUGGCUUACCAAGGCUUUGACGGGUAGCCGGCCUGAGAGGGUGACCGGCCACAUUGGGACUGAGAUACGGCCCAGACUCCUACGGGAGGCAGCAGUGGGGAAUAUUGCACAAUGGGCGGAAGCCUGAUGCAGCAACGCCGCGUGCGGGAUGACGGCCUUCGGGUUGUAAACCGCUUUCGCCUGGGACGAAGCGUGAGUGACGGUAAUGGGUAAAGAAGCACCGGCUAACUACGUG
rnacentral:rRNA from 1 species